GUGGGGAAUAUUGCACAAUGGGGGAAACCCUGAUGCAGCGACGCCGCGUGAGUGAAGAAGUAUUUCGGUAUGUAAAGCUCUAUCAGCAGGGACGAUAAUGACGGUACCUGACUAAGAAGCCCCGGCUAACUACGUGCCAGCAGCCGCGGUAAUACGUAGGGGGCAAGCGUUAUCCGGAUUUACUGGGUGUAAAGGGAGCGUAGACGGUGAUGUAAGUCAGAUGUGAAAACCCAGGGCUCAACCCUGGGACUGCAUUUGAAACUAUGUUACUAGAGUGCAGGAGAGGUAAGUGGAAUUCCUAGUGUAGCGGUGAAAUGCGUAGAUAUUAGGAGGAACACCAGUGGCGAAGGCGGCUUACUGGACUGUAACUGACGUUGAGGCUCGAAAGCGUGGGGAGCAAACAGGAUUAGAAACCCUAGUAGUCC
rnacentral:rRNA from 1 species